GAACGCUGGCGGCGUGCUUAACACAUUCAAGUCGAACGGAAAGGCCCUGCUUUUGUGGGGUGCUCGAGUGGCGAACGGGUGAGUAACACGUGAGUAACCUGCCCUUGACUUUGGGAUAACUUCAGGAAACUGGGGCUAAUACCGGAUAGGAGCUCCUGCUGCAUGGUGGGGGUUGGAAAGUUUCGGCGGUUGGGGAUGGACUCGCGGCUUAUCAGCUUGUUGGUGGGGUAGUGGCUUACCAAGGCUUUGACGGGUAGCCGGCCUGAGAGGGUGACCGGCCACAUUGGGACUGAGAUACGGCCCAGACUCCUACGGGAGGCAGCAGUGGGGAAUAUUGCACAAUGGGCGGAAGCCUGAUGCAGCAACGCCGCGUGCGGGAUGACGGCCUUCGGGUUGUAAACCGCUUUCGCCUGUGACGAAGCGUGAGUGACGGUAAUGGGUAAAGAAGCACCGGCUAACUACGUG
rnacentral:rRNA from 1 species